AUUCUAGCCACAGCUUCUCUAAGGGCGAGCUGCUUUCUGCACUCUGGUUAUUGGAUAUUUGCAUUUCAGCCAAACUUGCUAUUGAUAGAAGAGAACACUAGCGUCAUCCUCACUCAAGGGACAGUCCCCGCUCCUUCGUUCUGCACGGGGUCACAGGAGUGUGCAGGGAAUUUCAGACUCAGUGUCCAUAGGAGCCAACUGCUGGCCUCAGAGCAGCAGGGGAACCGAGACCAGGCCAGGCACGACUGCACCAGGAGGAGAGGCAUAUGUCCUCGAGCGGGCCGGAAUUGGGGAUGAGGCGUGGCCAAGCCUUGCUCACACACCCCCAUCCCCUUGUGAAAAUGCUUCCUCCUUUCAGAUCUUCAUUUUCACCAGCAGGAAACUCUCACCAGGUUUUGUUUCUGACCUAAGUAAACUGUCAACUUCAUGAACCCUUUAUCCAGGUGACGCCACCAAACAAUUCUGUCUCUAGCUCUAGCCUGAUCUUCACACAUUUUCUUUUCUUUCUUUCUUUUUUUUUUUUUUUUUUUGAGACGGAGUCUUGCUCUGUAGCCCAGGCUGGAGUGCAGUGGUGCGAUCUCGACUCACUGCAAGCUCCGCCUCCCGAGUUCACGCCAUUCUCUUACCUCGGCCUCCGGAGUAGCUGGGAUUAAAGGCGCCCGCCACCACGCCCGGCUAAUAUUUUGUAUUUUCAGUGGAGACGGGGUUUCACCGUGUUAGCCAGGAUGGUCUCGAUCUUCUGACCUCUUGAUCCGCCCGCCUCGGCCCCGCAAAGUGCUGGGAUUACAGGCGUGAGCCACCGCGCCCGGCCACACAUUUUCUUUAUCUAUACAAAUAACUCUGACCCCAACGACCCCAUGCAUGUCAAACCCCAAACCCUGCCCAGAAGACAGCUCCAGAGGUACAACACCAGAAAGGACAGAGACGCCACAAAUGCGUCUGCACAUGGGUCUUCUGCUUUCCAGGGCUCUGCAGCUUCUCGGAAUCCACACCCUUUCUGGAGCUGCUCUGAGCAGCUGGAGGCCACUUGUAGAAGGGGGUGGGCUGCCCGCGAAGCCCCCAGGGAAACUCUCUUUCCCUCCCUUUGCAGGCUGCAGAGACUGUCCUCAACGUGGAAUCACUGGCCUUGGGCUCUGCUGCCCCCUGCAGGUUAUUCAGCUACUUCUCACCCCAUCGAUUAGUUUCGCGAGACAAACACCUUCAAUCCCAUUGUGUAAAUAAGACACCAGCAGAGUCCCUGCUCUCCUCCUAUGCUUAUGUAUAAAGUGGGGGAGGAAAAAUCUAAGAUAACUUAAGGGCAUUUGAAAGACUUCCAGAUCGCGGUGGAGGUGGCAGCUGAGGGACUCGCAGUCAAUGACACUGCAGCACCUCCAGGCCAGGCUGGUGGGAGAGAGGGUGGAGAGCUGGAGAUGGAUGUGGAUAGGUGGAGGGAGCUGCCCUGGGAACUGGGCUCUGCAGCAGUGCGGCUCUAGGGCCCGGAGCCCGGGAGAGCAGAGAUGGGGGCUCCCAGGACAGGAAACUCAGGGAGGAGAGAGUCGGGUGGCUUCCAUGGGACGGGGUGCUGUUGCAGCUUGUGUGAGCCAGUAGCUAUCAUAACUAAGCCCAAUCGGGACGUGAAAACUUGGAUUCCGUGGGAAUUUAUGAAGAGGAAGGCUCUGAUGACAAAGAAGUCAUCGAUGAGGAGGGGGAUGAGGGUCACUGGCAAGCUUGCUUCCUUAUGGAAAGAAAAGUGAACACCCAACUACUGCUGCAAAAUGGGAUCAAAGGAUGAGACUCUCGCUGUCAGGGAAUAAACUGCUGCAGAACUCUUAGAGAUUGCAAAGACCUUUCAACAACAGCCUGGGAGGCCAGGUGCCAUGGCUCAUGCCUGCAAUCCCAACAUUUUGGGAGGCCAAAGUGGCAGGAUCACUUGAAGCCCGAAGUUGAAGACCACCCUGAGCAGUGAAGUGAGACACUCCCAUCUCCAUAAAUCUAUUUUUUAAUUAGCCAGGAGAGGUGGUGUGUACCUGUAA
rnacentral:lncRNA from 10 species